GGAGAGCGAGAGGAAAAAGGUGCUACAAUGUAACCCACGAAUAACAUUUGUGACUGUUCAGAAGCGGCACAGAACCCGCUUCUGUCGCAAAAAUGGGACCAACGUACCUCCAGGGACGGUCGUCGAUAGGACCAACAUGCGAAGCGCGAGUUUUUCAUGUGCUCUCACACUCCCAUAAGAGGCACAGCUCGGCCCGCCCACUACCGCGUGAUCUACGACGAGAACGGCUUCGAACCGGAAACUCUACAGAAGAUCACGUUCAGCCUGUGUCAUAUGUACGCACGCUGCGUUACGGCGGUGUCUAUCCCAGCGCCCGUCUAUUACGCGCACCUUGCCGCAGCUCGUGCAAGCUGCUACGUGAAGGCCACUGAACAAGUCGAUACAAAUCCCAUCAAUGUCGUGGGAGACUGUAGAGACAAGAUGUUUUUCAUCUAAGACAAGGCUGUUUGCUUGUGCUCGACGACCGUUACAUUUUCUGCGUGGUUUGUCCAUGUUUAAGGUGUUCUCGCGACUACCGUAACAAACGCCAUUUACUAUACUGCUGUUCAGUACGCUUCAGCUUUUAUUGCAGCGGUCUUCAGGCAGGUGCCCGUUUGUCUCCGUUGACGCCAUCCGGCCAACAGACUUCCGUCCUGUGGGCGCCCGAAGGCCAGGGCUGUGUUUCGACCGCCAAUGCUGCGUUUCGACAUGUGUCCCUAACUUCAUUUUCUUGUUGCUACUCGAAUCUUAGACUUACCAUUUUAUCCACAAGCACACCAUGAGUGAAAUUUCAUGCCAUAAUACUCAAAGUGCUGAUUGUCCCCGUAAGUGCUUGUUUAUGCAGAACUGGAUCGCUAGUGUUAGUGUGCCGCAUGUUCCAUAUGACUGUUUGUACUGCGACAACUGCCGAGGGCUUACUCGCUAUUAAAG
rnacentral:lncRNA from 1 species